rnacentral:rRNA from 1 species
AAUAGAUACCCUGGUAGUCCUCGCCCUAAACGAUGGGUGCUAGUUGUUAGGAGUAUCGACCCUCUUAGUAACGAAGCUAACGCGUUAAGCACCCCGCCUGUGGAGUACGAGCGCAAGCUUAAAACAUAAAGGAAUUGACGGGGACCCGCACAAGCGGUGGAGCGUGUUGUUUAAUUCGAUGGUAAGCGAAGAACCUUACCCAGGCUUGACAUCCUGUGAAGCAUUGCGAAAGCAAAGUGUGCCUUUUGGAACACAGUGACAGGUGAUGCAUGGCCGUCGUCAGCUCGUGUCGUGAGAUGUUUGGUUAAGUCCAUCAACGAGCGCAACCCUUAUAGUUAGUUGAAUUUCUCUAGCUAGACUGCCCUGGUAACAGGGAGGAAGGGGGGGAUGAUGUCAGGUCAGUAUUUCCCUUACGUCUGGGGCUACAAACACGCUACAAUGGCCGGUACAAAGGGCAGCCAACCCGCGAGGGGAGCUAAUCCCAUCAAAGCCGGUCUCAGUUCGGAUUGCAGGCUGAAACUCGCCUGCA